GAUGAACGCUGGCGGCGUGCCUAAUACAUGCAAGUCGAGCGAACGGACGAGAAGCUUGCUUCUCUGAUGUUAGCGGCGGACGGGUGAGUAACACGUGGAUAACCUACCUAUAAGACUGGGAUAACUUCGGGAAACCGGAGCUAAUACCGGAUAAUACUUUGAACCGCAUGGUUCAAAAGUGAAAGACGGUCUUGCUGUCACUUAUAGAUGGUUCCGCGCUGCAUUAGCUAGUUGGUAAGGUAACGGCUUACCAAGGCAACGAUGCAUAGCCGACCUGAGAGGGUGAUCGGCCACACUGGAACUGAGACACGGUCCAGACUCCUACGGGAGGCAGCAGUAGGGAAUCUUCCGCAAUGGGCGAAAGCCUGACGGAGCAACGCCGCGUGAGUGAUGAAGGUCUUCGGAUCGUAAAACUCUGUUAUUAGGGAAGAACAUAUGUGUAAGUAACUGUGCACAUCUUGACGGUACCUAAUCAGAAAGCCACGGCUAACUACGUG
rnacentral:rRNA from 1 species